rnacentral:rRNA from 1 species
AGAGUUUGAUCCUGGCUCAGAGCGAACGUUGGCGGCGGGCCUAACACAUGCAAGUCGAACGAAAAGGCUCCUUCAGGAGUUAUUGAAGUGGCCCACGGGUGAGGAACGCGUAAGUAAUCUACCCUUUGGCCUUCGACGACAUUCCGAAAGGAAUGCUAAUACCGCGUGCCACCACGCUCACUACGGUGAAAGCGGUUAAAGGUGCCUCAAAGCACCACCAGAGGAUGAGCCUGCGUCCCAUCAGCUUGUUGGUAAGGUAAUGGCUUACCAAGGCGAAGACCUGUACCUGGUCUGAGAGGAUGAUCAGCCACACUGACACUGGAACACGAGCCAGACUCCUACGGGAGGCAGCAAUGAGGAAUAUUGGGGCAAUGGGCGAAAGCCUGACCCAGCCACUCCACGAGUGUGAUGAAAGCCUUCGGGUCGUAAAGCACUGUGGAGAGAGACGAACAUGUUCAGGAGGAAAUGCCUGCGUACUGACGGUACCUCCUUAGAAAGCUCCGGCUAAGUCUGUGCCAGCAGCCGCGGUAAUACACAGGGUGCGAACGUUGCUCGGAUUUACUGGGCGUAAAGCGCGUGUAGGCGGACUCGCAAGUCGAUUGUGAGAUCCUUGGGCUUAACCUAGCAACUGAUUCCGCCACUGCUUGUCUUGAGUAAUGUAGAGGGUGGCGGAGUUCCCGGUGUAGAUGUGAAAUUCGUAGUAUAGUGAAAACAUCAGUGUCGAGGGGGCCAUCUGGACAUUACUGACGAUGAGACGUGAAAGCGUGGGAGCAAACAGGAUUAGAUACCUGGUAGUACACGCUGUCCACGAUGAGAACUAGGUGCAGCGGAUAUUGACCUCUGCUGUGCUUUAGCUAACGCGUUAAGUUCUCCGCCUGGGGAGUACGGCCGCAAGGGAAAAACUCAAAGGAAUUGACGGGUCACCGCACAAGCAGUGGAGCAUCUCAUUUAAUUCGAAGCAACGCGCAGAACCUUACCAGGGGUAGACCAUUUAAGAACCUGAACGAAAGUUUGUGGUCAUCGCAAGAGAACUUAGCUUCAGGUGCUGCAUCGCAGUUGUCACCUCGCGUUGUGAGAUGUUGGUUUAAGUCCCGCAACGAGCGCAACCCUUAUCGUUAGUUCCCAUCAUUUAGUUGGCCACUCAAAGGAGACGGCCGGGGUCAACCCGGAGGAAGGUGGGGAUGAAGUCAAGUCGUCAUGGCCUCUAUUUCGUGGGGUCCACACGUGUUACAAUGGUCGGUACAAUGCGCUGUGAAGCCACGAGGAGGAGAUAAUCGCAAAAAGCCGGCCUCAGUAAAGAUUGCAUUAUUCAAGUUGAGUGCAUGAAGUUGGAAUUCAUGGUAAUCGAUGAUCAGCAGGCAGCGCAGAAUACGUUCCCGGGCCUUGUACACACCGCCUGUCACACCAUGGGAGUGGAGUGCUCCAGAAGCCGCCACCAUAACCCGCAAGGGACACACAUCCCCAAGGAGUGUUUGGUAACUGGGGUGAAGUCGUAACAAGGUAACC